rnacentral:rRNA from 1 species
ACGGAAGGCAGCAGUAGGGAAUCUUGCGCAAUGGACGAAAGUCUGACGCAGCGACGCCGCGUGAGCGAUGAAGGCCUUCGGGUCGUAAAGCUCUGUGGGGAGAGACGAAUAAGGUAUGGCUAACAUCCAUGCCGAUGACGGUAUCUCCUUAGCAAGCACCGGCUAACUCUGUGCCAGCAGCCGCGGUAAGACAGAGGGUGCAAACGUUGUUCGGAAUUACUGGGCGUAAAGCGCGCGUAGGUGGCCGUGCAAGUCGGGCGUGAAAUCCCAUGGCUCAACCAUGGAAGUGCACUCGAAACUGCACAGCUAGAGUCUCGGAGAGGAAGGCGGAAUGCUUGGUGUAGAGGUGAAAUUCGUAGAUAUCAAGCGGAACACCGGUGGCGAAGGCGGCCUUCUGGACGAUGACUGACGCUGAAGCGCGAAAGCGUGGGGAGCAAACAGGAUUAGAUACCCUGGUA